GACGAACGCUGGCGGCGUGCUUAACACAUGCAAGUCGAACGGAAAGGCCCUGCUUUUGUGGGGUGCUCGAGUGGCGAACGGGUGAGUAACACGUGAGUAACCUGCCCUUGACUUUGGGAUAACUUCAGGAAACUGGGGCUAAUACCGGAUAGGAGCUCCUGCUGCAUGGUGGGGGUUGGAAAGUUUCGGCGGUUGGGGAUGGACUCGCGGCUUAUCAGCUUGUUGGUGGGGUAGUGGCUUACCAAGGCUUUGACGGGUAGCCGGCCUGAGAGGGUGACCGGCCACAUUGGGACUGAGAUACGGCCCAGACGCCUACGGGAGGCAGCAGUGGGGAAUAGUGCACAAUGGGCGGAAGCCUGAUGCAGCAACGCCGCGUGCGGGAUGACGGCCUUCGGGUUGUAAACCGCGUUCGCCUGUGACGAAGCGGGAGUGACGGUAAUGGGUAAAGAAGCACCGGCUAACUACGUG
rnacentral:rRNA from 1 species